rnacentral:tRNA from 1 species
AGGCUUGUAGCUCAGGUGGUUAGAGCGCACUGAUAAGGGUGAGGUCGGUGGUUCAGUCCACUCAGGCCUACCA